CCUACGGGUGGCAGCAGUGAGGAAUAUUGGUCAAUGGUCGGAAGACUGAACCAGCCAUGCCGCGUGCAGGAAGAAUGCCUUAUGGGUUGUAAACUGCUUUUAUAUGGGAAGAAUAAGGUGUACGAGUACAUUGAUGACGGUACCAUAUGAAUAAGCAUCGGCUAACUCCGUGCCAGCAGCCGCGGUAAUACGGAGGAUGCGAGCGUUAUUCGGAAUCAUUGGGUUUAAAGGGUCUGUAGGCGGGCUAUUAAGUCAGGGGUGAAAGGUUUCAGCUUAACUGAGAAAUUGCCUUUGAUACUGGUAGUCUUGAAUAUCUGUGAAGUUCUUGGAAUGUGUAGUGUAGCGGUGAAAUGCUUAGAUAUUACACAGAACACCGAUUGCGAAGGCAGGGGACUAACAGACAAUUGACGCUGAGAGACGAAAGCGUGGGGAGCGAACAGGAUUAGAUACCCUGGUAGUC
rnacentral:rRNA from 1 species